CAACUCCUUUAGAGCAAGAAUUUUUUACUCCCGUAAGAUUCUGAAGCGUUCUAUGUCCUCUCCUCCAGCUUUGAAACUUGAAAAAUAUAAUCCUUCGACCGACUCUAAUAGAAAAAUCUGAGACACUCAAUGGAAGGGCUCCAAACAAAUAAAAAUCGACCCUUCCAUCUGUGGACUGAAGAUGGGACCCCCUUGAUUAAGGCGAAGACCCUUUGGGCAGCGAGACAUACCAUCAAUCUUCGAUUCAUCUCUUUACUAUAUAA
rnacentral:lncRNA from 1 species